rnacentral:rRNA from 1 species
GGGCCUAAAGCGUCCGUAGCUGGCUUUGUAAAUCUUUUGUGAAAUCGAAAAGCUUAACUUUUCGGCGUGCAGAAGACACUGCAUUGCUUGAGACCGGGAGGGGUAAGGAGUAUUUCCAGGGAACCGGUAAAAUGGGAUAAUCCUGGAAGGACUACCUGUGGCGAAGGCGCCUUACCAGAACGGGUCUGACAGUGAGGGGCGAAGGCUAGGGGAGCGAACCGGAUUAGAUACCCGAGUAGUCCUAGCAGUAAACUCUGCGGGCUAGGUGUUGCGUCAUCCAUGUGAUUAUGCAGUGUCGUAGGGAAGGCAAUAAGCCCGCCGCCUGGGAAGUAUGGUCGCAAGACUGAAACUUAAAGGAAUUGGCGGGGGAGCACCACAAGGGGUGCGGCGUGCGGUUUAAUCCAACUCAGCGCGGUGAAUCUCACCAGAAGCGACGGCAGUAUGAAGCUCAGUCUAAAGGGCUUAGCUAACGAGCCGAGAGGUGGUGCAUGGCCGUCGUCAGCUCGUGCCGUAAGGUGUCCUGUUAAGUCAGGCAACGAGCGAGACCUGUGCGCACAAUUGCUAACGAACUAUGUGAUCGAGCACAAUGUGCGGACUGCCUUGGAAACAAGGAGGAAGGUGCAGGCUACGAUAGGUCUGUAUGCCCCGAAUCUUCUGGGCUACACGCGCGCAACAA